GUAGAUGUGGCCCACGCUCGGGUGAUGAGCCCUCCUAGUGGUGCCAGGAAUUGUCAGUCCCCCUGGUACGACGAGAGCUUGUUAAUCUACAGCGAUGUUCUGGGUGGAAUUCUCGAUACUCCUGGACACAAACAAGUGUUGCCCAUCUUUCAACAAAGCCCGGAAGCAACGAGUCCCACAACACCACUCUUUGAUGACCCAAAAUCAUGUUCAAGAAAAACCAGAAGGAGGGUUGCAUCAUCCCCCAAAAAUAUCCUGGAUAUGCCGAAAAUAAGGAACGAUUUCUAUACCAAUGUUCUUGACUGGGGACAGUCCAACAAAAUUGCUGUGGCUUUAGAGCAGACGACAUACAUCUGGGAUGUAGAGUCCAAAAUUUGCAAGAAGAUAAAUGUCGCCUCGGAGGAGGAGCAAGCCAGCUUGUAUUUUGUAUCUGCCGUCUGCUGGGACAACGAGGGCCACCUUGUGGCAACGGGAGAUAACAAGGGACAUCUGAAGGUUUUCGACCCUGAAACGGAGAAAAUUAUACAGAAUAUUGGAGGACAUGGAAAGACCACAAUCAGCGUUUUAAGAUGGAGAACGCACGAACUAUACACUGGAAACCGUAACGGGGGUGUUAUCCAGUACGAUACAAGGUGUCCAAAUCUUGGUGGUAGACGGUUGGGACACGGACAAGAUGUCUGCGGCAUGGCAAUGUCCCAUAAUUCCCACCAUGUGGUGACUGGAGGAAAUGGAGGACUGGUGCGGUUAUGGGAUUUGCGCACACAUCAAUGUUUUCGAACAAUCAAAGCGCACAGGAUGGGUACAUCAGACUAUGGCAGAUCCAUACCGGGGAAAUGAUUGGUGAGGUUUCAACCAACUCACAGAUAUGUGGUUUGUUGUGGUCCCAAGAGUAUCAAGAACUUGCUUCUAGUCACGGUUCAGUAACUCCAGAAAAUAACGACAUCGUCCUGUGGAGGAUGUCCAGAUUUCAAUUCGAACCCCAGACGAGACUUCAGCAGCAUCUCGCGAGACCACUUCACAUGGCGCUCAGUCCUAAUGGUACCACUAUUGCUUCUGCGGGAGUGGAUGAAAUGAUGUGCAUCUGGGAAUGUUUUCCAGAAAAUCGCGAUCACCUUCGGAGACAGUCGUCAUCGACCUUAGCACUGGACCAGAUGAUUCGAUGAAAUUCCGAGUUUAGUAGAUGAUUCGAUGACUGUCAUGUGUUCUGUAACGAAUGGCCCCAAGCACUGUGAUUUCUAUAAUUGUAGAUAUCAAUGUUUUGUUUUUGUUGUAGAGUCUGAAUUAAAAGUAUGUAUUUCU
rnacentral:misc_RNA from 1 species